CUUACAUCUAUAUACAUACACAUACAUGCCAUCUAACUAGCAGGUGCAUUGAGAGGUGCAGUGUGAUCAGUGAUAUUGCACAUUGAGUGGGGGGGGGGGUGCUGUUGGAACUAUACUAAAUAAUGUUAUAAUAAAUACAGUUUAAAGAGGUAAGGGUGUUGUUUGCAUUGAAGUAUAAACAGAAAUACGAUUUAUAAAUAAGGUGUAAUGUCCAUGAGUGUUGGCAGUGCAGUUAUCCUCCAAUCAGGGUGGAGGUAGGGCAUGUUUGACAGCCUGUGGGUAAAAACUUCUGUUGAGUCUGUUUGUCUUCGACCUGAUGGACCUGUAGCGUUUACCAGAGGGAAGGGGGGAAAAAGUGAGUGUCCAGGGUGCGAGGGGUCUUUGAUGAUGAUGCUGGCUUUCUGCUGAAGUCUGCCAGUAUAGAUGUGUCUGAGGGGAGUUAGUGAAGUGCCGAUUGCCCGCUCUGCUGCCCUCACCACCCGCUGCAGUUUCCUCUUGUCCUCCGCAGUUCAGCAUCUGAAGCAAUGGUGUGACGACAACAACCUGCAUCUGAACACAGCCAAGACCAAGGAGAUGGUAAUCGACUUCAGAAGAACAAAGCGAUCUGAGCACUCUACCCUCUACAUUGAUGGGGAGGAGGUAGAAAGGGUAGAAAGCUUCAAGUUUCUCGGAGUCCACAUCUCGG
ensembl:lncRNA